UUGCAACUCCAGCCCUUGGAUUAUUGGUUUAUGUUGAUCAUAUGUAAUUAUAUACAGGCAUUCCUAAAACACGUAUACUACGUAUAUAUGAUUGCAGAGAGUAAUUAUUUAUGACAUCCUUGGGCUUAAAGUUGUGUUUGUAUAAUAGCGUCCACGCAUUUUAUGAGUAUGAUGUUGUUAAGCAAAGUAUUGAAUGGCGAAGGCAGUUUAGGUAGCUGUUCAAUGUCGUUAGCGUCUAGGUGUCCUGAUACAAAAAUUUCAUACAGAGAGAUGAGUUUAAUAUAAGUUUAGUCUUGUCUCAAUGCCGAUUAGGUGAAUCUAUGACUUUGAAAUUUAAUUUCCCGUCUUUCUUCAGUCUGUCAGGUCCCUCUCUUCUGUUGUACCGCAUAUACCUUAAUGUUUCUACACCCUCUUUUUCCCGCUUUACCUUUCAAAUUUUCCAGAGGUCGCACUUGGUGCGAUGGCAAGUGCCUUCGCCCAUAAGCGGUAGGUCUCGGGUUCGAGACUUGGGAGCAGCCUCUCCAUAAAUGGGGGUAAGGCUAGCCGACGUUCACCUCUCCCAGACCCUGCGUAAAGCGGGAGCCUUGUGCACUGGGUACGACCUUUACCUUUCAAAUUUUCCGUCGGUACUUGCAAUU
rnacentral:lncRNA from 1 species